rnacentral:misc_RNA from 1 species
UACGCGAACCUCAAGCGUUGUCCGGAUUUAUUGGGCGUAAAGGGUGUGUAGGCGGCUCUGUUAGUCUUUUGUCAAAGACCUCAGCUUAACUGAGGAACGGCAAGGGAAACGGCAGGGCUCGAGGAUGCGAGAGGUGUACGGAACUCACGGUGUAGAGGUGAAAUUCGUUGAUAUCGUGGGGAACACCAAAGGCGAAGGCAGUACACUGGCGCAUUCCUGACGCUGAGGCACGAAAGCCAGGGUAGCGAAUGGG